GCAGGUAUCAUCUGUGGAAGAGGAGGAGAGAAAUGAUGAGGAGGAGGACACAAACACUGUAGUAUUUUUCUGCCACUGCGUGGUAUUUUUCAGUGUCACUAAAGACACUGCAGUCACUCCCAACAGUCACUGGGCGAAGGCGGGUUGUCCCUGGACAGUCGUAUAGAGAUGAGUAUUCACACUCACAUUCACACCAAAUAAUCAAUGAAGUGUAAAUAAUUCACCCUAAUCCUGUAUGUUUUUGGACAGUGGGAGGAAACCAGAGUACAUGGAGAAACACGCCCGCCCCCCACACACAGGGAAAAAUCAAGAUCCUCAGUGAUUUGAACAACAGCUACACCAUGUGACCGCAGUCUGCUGUCCACCAGGGCUUCAACCGCCACCGUCCACAACUGGAGCUGGUCUCAGAUCUGCCGUGCAGCAGCAGCUGACAGCUGUACAGGCCACUAUCCUCCGCCUGCAGCUGCUGCAGCGUGAGGCUGUAGGCGAUGCCUCUGGGGCCAGGCUCCGUGGACAGCUGGACCCUGUCGGGC